rnacentral:misc_RNA from 1 species
AACUUUUGGCAAUGGAUCUCUUGGCUCUCGCAUCGAUGAAGAACGCAGCGAAAUGCGAUAAGUAAUGUGAAUUGCAGAUUUUCAGUGAAUCAUCGAAUCGUUGAACGCACCUUGCGCUCCUUGGUAUUCCGAGGAGCAUGCCUGUUUGAGUGUCAUUAAAUUCUCAACCCCAGCGGUUCGUUGGGGCUUGGACUUGGAGCGUGCUGGCGAAGGUCGGCUCCUCUUUAAAUGCAUCAGCGGAAAACGGAACCUUCCCUUCGGCGUGAUAAUAUACGUUGCGUCGUGGUGGGUCGGUUAAAGAGUCCCGCUUACAAUCGUCCUCGGACAAAAAUAAAAAACAUCUGUUUUGACCUCAGAUCAGGUAGGACUACCCGCUGAACUUAAGCAUAUCAAUAAGCGGAGGCU